CUGAAUCGAGACCCGGCCCGGCUCGCGUCGUUCCAACAACCGGCGGGGAGCACCUCAGUAUACGAUUGCGUACAGUAACUGGGAGUCGUUCUUAGUUCAGUUCGGUAGAACGUGGGUCUCCAAAACCUGAUGUCGUAGGUUCAAAUCCUACAGAGCGUGAUUC
rnacentral:tRNA from 1 species